GAUGAACGCUGGCGGCGUGCCUAAUACAUGCAAGUCGUACGGAAAGGCCCUUCGGGGUACUCGAGUGGCGGACGGCUGAGUAACGCGUGGGAACGUGCCCCAAAGUGAGGGAUAACGCACCGAAAGGUGUGCUAAUACCGCAUAUGGUCUUCGGAUUAAAGCUUCGGCGCUUUGGGAGCGGCCCGCGUACGAUUAGAUAGUUGGUGAGGUAACGGCUCACCAAGGCGACGAUCAGUAACCGACCUGAGAGGGCGAACGGUCACACUGGAACUGAGACACGGUCCAGACUCCUACGGGAGGCAGCAGUGGGGAAUAUUGCACAAUGGGCGCAAGCCUGAUGCAGCAACGCCGCGUGAGUGAAGAAGGCCUUCGGGUCGUAAAGCUCUGUCCUCUGGGACGAAUAAAGUGACGGUACCAGAGGAGGAAGCCCCGGCUAACUACGUGCCAGCCGCCGCCGUAACAC
rnacentral:rRNA from 1 species